GUGGGGAAUAUUGCGCAAUGGGCGAAAGCCUGACGCAGCGACGCCGCGUGAGGGAUGAAGGUUUUCGGAUCGUAAACCUCUGUCAGAAGGGAAGAAACUACAUUGUGCUAAUCAGCAGUGUACUGACGGUACCUUCAAAGGAAGCACCGGCUAACUCCGUGCCAGCAGCUGCGGUAAUACGGAGGGUGCAAGCGUUAAUCGGAAUUACUGGGCGUAAAGCGCACGUAGGCUGUAGUGUAAGUCAGGGGUGAAAUCCCACGGCUCAACCGUGGAACUGCCUUUGAUACUGCACAACUUGAAUCCGGGAGAGGGUGGCGGAAUUCCAGGUGUAGGAGUGAAAUCCGUAGAUAUCUGGAGGAACAUCAGUGGCGAAGGCGGCCACCUGGACCGGUAUUGACGCUGAGGUGCGAAAGCGUGGGGAGCAAACAGGAUUAGAAACCCCUGUAGUCC
rnacentral:rRNA from 1 species